GAUGAACGCUGGCGGCGUGCCUAAUACAUGCAAGUCGAGCGAACGGACGAGAAGCUUGCUUCUCUGAUGUUAGCGGCGGACGGGUGAGUAACACGUGGUUAACCUACCUAUAAGACUGGGAUAACUUCGGGAAACCGGUGCUAAUACCGGAUAAUAUUUUGAACCGCAUUGUUCAAAAGUGAAUUACGGUCUUUCUGUCACUUAUAGAUGGAUCCCCGCUGCAUUAGCUAGUUGGUAAGGUAACGGCUUACCAAGGCAACGAUGCAUAGCCGACAUGAGAGGGGGAUAGGAAAAACGGGAACGGAGAAACGGACCAGACACCUACGGGAGGCAGCAGUAGGGAAUAGUCCGCAAGGGGGGAAAGCAUGACGGAGCAAAGCCGAGUGAGUGAUGAAGGUCUGCGGAUCGGAAAACAAUGUAAUUAGGGAAGAACAAAAGUGUAAGUAACUGGGAACAUCUUGACGGUACCUAAUCAGAAAGCCACGGCUAACUACGUG
rnacentral:rRNA from 1 species